AUUGAACGCUGGCGGCAGGCCUAACACAUGCAAGUCGAGCGAGCGGCGGACGGGGGAGUAAUGUCUGGGAAACUGCCCGAUGGAGGGGGAUAACUACAGGAAACGGUAGCUAAUACCGCAUACCCUCUGAGGUGCCCAGAUGGGAUUAGCUGGGAGGGGGGGUAACGGCUCACCUAGGCGACGAUCCCUAGCGGGUCUGGGAGGAUGACCAGCCACACUGGAACUGAGACACGGUCCAGACUCCUACGGGAGGCAGCAGUGGGGAAUAUUGCACAAUGGGCGCAAGCCUGAUGCAGCCAUGCCGCGUGUGUGAAGAAGGCCUUCGGGUUGUAAAGCACUUUCAGCGGGGAGGCGUUACCCGCAGAAGAAGCACCGGCUAACUCCGUGCCAGCAGCCGCGGUAAUAC
rnacentral:rRNA from 1 species